GGAAAAGGAAAAGGAAAAGGAAAAAGGAAAGGAUAGAUCUGCCCCAGGUAGCUUUUUAGGCAAAAUGUCUGGUUUUAGGAAAAAUUAGUGCCUGUAUCUAUGAACCGGUUAACAAAUAGUUAGAAGCACCCAAACAAAGACAAGUGAAGCCUUGGCAGUUCAGAGAAGGGAGAUGUUAUUUCUAACAGCUUCAGUUGGGAGUGAUCAUGACACCCAUUUAAGGACAAGUGUUCAAGGCAAACAAUCCGUCGUUUCUUUCGUAAUCUCAACGUUGUCAACUAAGAGAAGCUGCACAACUGAGAUAUCGAGUGUGAUGUUCGUUUCUGAGGUAUUUAUUGUCUUCCAAGUCUACACCGGAAAUGGACACUCAUACAUUCAUUCUUUGAAAGAUAUGUAGGUGCCCCUUCUCUGAAAAAUGACACUGCUGAUGGUCUCUAGUUCCCUUCUAUUCUACAAUUCCAUUACUUAUACUCCAGUGAAAGCUACCUGCUAUUCUGCUCAUGGAGCGUUGACCAAACACUGCUUUUGAAGAUGGAUUCUCAGAUUGGCAAAAUAGCCCAGCUCUCAAGAUCCUCAAGGUUGUGUGUUGAGAGGACAGCAUGUCUAAACUCCAGAGAAAAUAUGUCAUUUGAAAAUGCAUAUUCAGGGAUGGCUGGGUGGCUCAGUGGUUGAGUGUCUCCCUUUCGCCCAGGUUGUGAUCCCGGGGUUCUGGGAUCAAGUCCCGCAUGGGGUGCCCCAC